rfam:Sarcophilus harrisii ctg7180001450148, whole genome shotgun sequence.
AUUAAAAUGGCAGAGUUGGUAAUUGCGUAAAGUUUAAGCCUUUGCUCCCAGAGGUUCAAAUCCUCUUCUUAACA